GGUGUCUGGGGAGACAUUCUCAGGGACCUCUCAAAGAUGGGGGUCCUCUACAAGGCUGUCUACUUCCCUAAAGCUUUGUUCCCCUGAGUGUGUGUGUGUGUGUUGGAGGUGCUGUAUGAGGGUGCUAUACAUUUAUGCAUAUGUCUGUGUGCUCCCAGAGGCCAGAGGGAAGUACUCUCUUCCACUCUAUGCCAGGUCCAGCGGUGCUGGUGACCAGCUGUUAACAGAACUAUGGGCGGACAGGCGGACAGGAGUCAUUGCCAACGAAGGAGGGCGAUGAUUCCUGGUCACUCUGGAAAUGACUCUGGAGCAUACAACCCAAGGACAGCAGCAGCCAACAAAAUCACCACGUGGAAGUCAGGCUUCAAGCUACUAUCACUAUCUAAAUUUAAAGCAACUUCGAUUUGUAACAACAACAACAACAACAUUCUCUAAUAAACAAUAAAAUGACCAGGA